GCAGGUUUACUCUCUUUUGCUCCAAAUAAGGCAGUUUUAGGGGGAUUUUCUUCAAAAUGUCCUUUUACACCAUUUUCUGCAAAAUAAUAUUAAAAACAAUAAAUUAAGUAGAAAUCAUGUAAAUAUUCAUCAAUAAUAUUAAUAUAAAAUGUACUAAAUUAUGCUCUAUCAAAUACCCCCACACUUAGCCUUUUGCUUGUCCUCAAGCAAAUAAACAUAGUUAAAUAAGCUUCCUCAUUCUAAAUCCUUAUUUCCACUUAACCUCUUACUCUAGACCCCUAUUUUGAAUCAUUGCAGUGAAGAAUAUAUGCAUGAAGAUUACUCACCUUCUUUCCUUGUUUCCCUUUACUUACCAUGGCUAGGAUUUGUUUUCCUCAAGAGAGACCAUACAUGCACAUUUUUGUUAAGACUUUUUCUAGCUUUUGGAUUGACUUGCCCUUACCUUGAAGUACUUUAUUCAAGCUUUUGCACUUUAGAUCUCGCUUGGAAAGGUUACCAACCUAUUUUUGAUUUGAAGGUUUAUAUUUUUCAGUUGGUCACCUAUCCAAGUGGCUACUUGCCUUGUUCAUAGUCUUUUGACUAUUGGAACAAUUUUCAAUUUGUACUUUUGAGGUCUUUGCCUUUGCUGAAUUUUCUUUCUCUCAAUGAUUUGGGCAAAUCAACACCAAUCGCUAAAUCAAGUCACAUUAAGUUCAUUCACACAAUUUUAAUUUAUUCUCAAUCAAUUGAGGGUCAUCAAUAUAUUUUUCACCAUGGCAAACUCAAAGAUUCAAUUCAAAAGGCAAUUCUNNNN
rnacentral:lncRNA from 1 species